ensembl:lncRNA
AGCAAGUGUAACCCAGGUUUACAUGACACCUUUUCAUUUAAUUCGAUUUAAAUCACAACCCCUUUUAAAAGUUUGUUACUAAUCAGUAAAAAAUACAUGGCUUGUGUAUUGUCGUUCUAAAUAGUGCCACAGAAUGAGAUAAAGAUAUAUAUUGGGAAAAUAUUGCAAAUGAAUGCAUUUAAAUUAUUGAAUCUAAAUAGUAUGGUGUGAUUUGUUAAACCACCUGUAACUCAACAAAGUCGCAUGGCAAGUGGUUUGACUUAGUUAGCCAAUCAGAAAUUAGACCCGCCUCUUUUUAGCGUCAGCAGAUAGCAGUUACGGAGAUUCGUCCUUUUCGGGACGAGCCACAGAUGAAAUUCGACGAUAGACUACUGUUUUUUAAUAGUAACCCAAAGAAGAGAGAUUCCCCGCCACUAAAAGUCCCGAAAAGCCUGUGCAGUAAAUCGAAACCCUUGGCCGGGUUUUUUUGGUUGUGUGGAUUGAGAUUGGAUCCUGGAUCGUCUGCAUCCUGCUCGCCCUCCCUGGAGGUCUGCAGCGGUGUACAGACUGGCGAGCUACCCCCCAUCGGAGCGAUCCUUUUGAACCCUGAACGGAAGGAGCAGGUGUUGUUGUUUCUGCAGUGUGGUAGGGGCAAGAGACUUUGAUUGAUUUAUUUAUUUUUUAAUCGCACGGACCAAACCGGAGUGGUUUUCCAAAUGGACUGAGAGAAGAUAGAUCUUUGGAGUAAGCUGUUCUCAGUUUUGCUGUGUACUCGGUGUACAGACUGGCGAGCUACCCCCCAUCGGAGCGAUCCUUUUGAACCCUGAACGGAAGGAGCAGGUGUUGUUGUUUCUGCAGUGUGGUAGGGGCAAGAGACUUUGAUUGAUUUAUUUAUUUUUUAAUCGCACGGACCAAACCGGAGUGGUUUUCCAAAUGGACUGAGAGAAGAUAGAUCUUUGGAGUAAGCUGUUCUCAGUUUUGCUGUGUACUGUUUGUUUUGUUGAGACGUGUGAUUCAGGGAUGUUUUAAUUUGGUCAGAGGUGUUUUAAAUCCUGUUGUUUUGUGUCUUUGUUUUGUUUU